UGGGGAAUUUUGGACAAUGGGCGCAAGCCUGAUCCAGCCAUGCCGCGUGCGGGAAGAAGGCCUUCGGGUUGUAAACCGCUUUUGUCAGGGAAGAAACCUUCUGAGUUAAUACCUCGGGAGGAUGACGGUACCUGAAGAAUAAGCACCGGCUAACUACGUGCCAGCAGCCGCGGUAAUACGUAGGGUGCAAGCGUUAAUCGGAAUUACUGGGCGUAAAGCGUGCGCAGGCGGUUUUGUAGGACAGAGGUGAAAUCCCCGGGCUCAACCUGGGAACUGCCUUUGUGACUGCAAGGCUUGAGUGCGGCAGAGGGGGGAUGGAAUUCCGCGUGUAGCAGUGAAAUGCGUAGAUAUGCGGAGGAACACCGAUGGCGAAGGCAAUCCCCUGGGCCUGCACUGACGCUCAUGCACGAAAGCGUGGGGAGCAAACAGGAUUAGAUCCCUGGUAGUCCACGCCCUAAACGAUGUCAACUGGUUGUUGGGAAGGUUCCUUCUCAGUAACGUAGCUAACGCGUGAAGUUGACCGCCUGGGGAGUACGGCCGCAAGGUUGAAACUUAAAUGAAUUGACGGGGUCAUAGC
rnacentral:rRNA from 1 species